UUGCACACACGAGUUGCAGCCAACCCGCGGCGAACGAACACAUUGUCCCACUCGGUGGGUCGCGGCGCCUCGCGGCGGCGCGGCCGGCCACCUCCCCUCGUCACGAGCUUCGCCACGGACGAACUCGCGGCGUCGGGUUUCCACGCGAUGCCUUCACCUUGAUCGAAUGACUGAGUCCCUCGACUUCGUAGGAGUGAGUUCCGUCCCCCCCCUCGGCGCGGCUCGGCUUUGGCUGACUUUGCGAAUGGAGGGGGGUCGGCGCUGGUUACCUUGCGAGUUGUGAAACGUAACCUUACACAAACAACUCUCAGCAACGGAUAUCUUGGCUCUUGCAACGAUGAAGAACGCAGCGAAAUGCGAUACGUAUUGUGAAUUGCAGAAUUCCGCGAAUCAUCGAGUCUUUGAACGCAAGUUGCGCCCGAGGCUUGUCCAAGGGCAUUUCCGCUAGAGCGUCACCGCGCCCCCCACCGAUCCGCUCCCGCUGGGAGUCGUGUCGAGUGGAAGUGGCCGUCCCGGCGGGCGCCUCGCGCCUCAAGCAAGGGUCGGCUGAAAUGGAGGGAAUCGGGCCGCCGUGGCGACACAGUCCGCGAUCGGGUGAUUUUCGGGCUCCUCCGGGAACCCGGGAUUUUUCUAAGUGCGUGGCUGCGUCGCCCAGUCGGCUGUGGGUUGUUACCUCAUGCAGGUCGGGCGCGCCCGCGCGGCGCGCGUCACGCAUCAGACCUC
rnacentral:misc_RNA from 1 species